AACUCAAAAUAUCAGUAGAUUUGUUGUGGUAGUGCCUUAACAAGAUUUGAGACUUCUCCAUUCAGGAAAAGACAAGUCUGGUAGAUACAAAAAUUACAAGAUCGCAAGUUUGGAUUGAAGGUCACAAGAAAAAAAAUGGGGAGCCUAGUACUCAAGCUGUUGGAGAGAAAAUAGUGGACCUAAUUCGACCAAAUGAUGAAAUGCAGUUUCUCGAUGAUGCAAUAGGAAGCACGGUCGCAUGGUUAUCUAAAUUUAUAGUAUUGUGUGAUUGAUACAUAUUAUACUAAUUUGUUUGGAUUGUAAGUUAAAUUGUUGUUAUGUA